UUUCCGUAGGUGAACCUGCGGAAGGAUCAUUAUUGAAUGAAACACUUCUGGCUUUAUGCUGUUGUGCUGGCCCUUUGGGCGAUGUGCACACGGCUCUGGUCACUUGUUUCUUCUGUUCCACCUGUGCACUGCCUGUAGACACGCUGUGUCUAUGAUAUUUGUUAACACACAACAAUGUUAGUUGGCAUGUUAUAUAUAAUAAUAAAAUAUACAACUUUCAACAACGGAUCUCUUGGCUCUC
rnacentral:misc_RNA from 1 species